GAGGGUGUAGCUCAGGUGGUAGAGCAUGUGCCUAGCAUGCACGAGGUCCUGGGUUCAAUCCCCAGUACUGCCA
rnacentral:tRNA from 1 species